rnacentral:rRNA from 1 species
AUGUCAACAGUGUGGCCGGCCAUUGACAUGGAGGUGAUAGAGGCGAUUAUUGCGAGAGCGAAACCUCUUCUGAAGGUGUCCAUGGACUCCCACGCACAGCCCGAUGCUCUGGAACGCAUCAGUCGGUUGCUGGGCGGUGCCGCAGUAAAUUGCAUCUUCGACGCCACCUUUGCCGAUCGGUUCAAAGGGACGUUGGACGACUUGGUUGACAAAUUGGAGCAUGACACUAGGAAGGUGGACAACCUCACUGCUCACCUCCAGGCCAUGCGCCGCCCUAAAGACCACUGCAAAGGCAGCCGCCGCGGUGUCUCCCCUGCUGGCCAGCUCGCAGGCCUCCAUGGAAAUGAUCUCUUCCGCACGCUGAUGACCCUGCAGCUGCCCGCGACCGCACCUGCGGAGUUCUAUCUUGAGGUUGCUCUUGCCGCGCAGAGCCUCAUCGUGCAUGACCAGUUUGACAUUUCCAUGCACGUCUGUGAGAGGAUCGUCUUCGGGGCCAACUCUACGGUGACCAAAGAGUACAACUUCAUGGCCUUCAAGGACCACAGGAAUACCUUGGAGAAGUAUGUUCGUGAGCACAUUGACCUCGCCGCUGCUGCUGCCAAUUCACGUCGCCCCACUGGCCUAGCAAAGUAA